rnacentral:rRNA from 1 species
GAUGAACGCUGGCGGCGUGCCUAAUACAUGCAAGUCGAGCGAACGGACGAGAAGCUUGCUUCUCUGAUGUUAGCGGCGGACGGGUGAGUAACACGUGGAUAACCUACCUAUAAGACUGGGAUAACUUCGGGAAACCGGAGCUAAUACCGGAUAAUAUUUUGAACCGCAUGGUUCAAAAGUGAAAGACGGUCUUGCUGUCACUUAUAGAUGGAUCCGCGCUGCAUUAGCUAGUUGGUAAGGUAACGGCUUACCAAGGCAACGAUGCAUAGCCGACCUGAGAGGGUGAUCGGCCACACUGGAACUGAGACACGGUCCAGACUCCUACGGGAGGCAGCAGUAGGGAAUCUUCCGCAAUGGGCGAAAGCCUGACGGAGCAACGCCGCGUGAGUGAUGAAGGUCUUCGGAUCGUAAAACUCUGUUAUUAGGGAAGAACAUAUGUGUAAGUAACUGUGCACAUCUUGACGGUACCUAAUCAGAAAGCCACGGCUAACUACGUGCCAGCAGCCGCGGUAAUACGUAGGUGGCAAGCGUUAUCCGGAAUUAUUGGGCGUAAAGCGCGCGUAGGCGGUUUUUUAAGUCUGAUGUGAAAGCCCACGGCUCAACCGUGGAGGGUCAUUGGAAACUGGAAAACUUGAGUGCAGAAGAGGAAAGUGGAAUUCCAUGUGUAGCGGUGAAAUGCGCAGAGAUAUGGAGGAACACCAGUGGCGAAGGCGACUUUCUGGUCUGUAACUGACGCUGAUGUGCGAAAGCGUGGGGAUCAAACAGGAUUAGAUACCCUGGUAGUCCACGCCGUAAACGAUGAGUGCUAAGUGUUAGGGGGUUUCCGCCCCUUAGUGCUGCAGCUAACGCAUUAAGCACUCCGCCUGGGGAGUACGACCGCAAGGUUGAAACUCAAAGGAAUUGACGGGGACCCGCACAAGCGGUGGAGCAUGUGGUUUAAUUCGAAGCAACGCGAAGAACCUUACCAAAUCUUGACAUCCUUCGACAACUCUAGAGAUAGAGCUUUCCCCUUCGGGGGACAAAGUGACAGGUGGUGCAUGGUUGUCGUCAGCUCGUGUCGUGAGAUGUUGGGUUAAGUCCCGCAACGAGCGCAACCCUUAAGCUUAGUUGCCAUCAUUAAGUUGGGCACUCUAAGUUGACUGCCGGUGACAGACCGGAGGAAGGUGGGGAUGACGUCAAAUCAUCAUGCCCCUUAUGAUUUGGGCUACACACGUGCUACAAUGGACAAUACAAAGGGCAGCGAAACCGCGAGGUCAAGCAAAUCCCAUAAAGUUGUUCUCAGUUCGGAUUGUAGUCUGCAACUCGACUACAUGAAGCUGGAAUCGCUAGUAAUCGUAGAUCAGCAUGCUACGGUGAAUACGUUCCCGGGUCU